CUGGCGGCAUGCCUAACACAUGCAAGUCGAACGGCAGCACAGCAGAGCUUGCUCUGUGGGUGGCGAGUGGCGGACGGGUGAGUAAUGCAUCGGGACCUACCCAGACGUGGGGGAUAACGUAGGGAAACUUACGCUAAUACCGCAUACGUCCUACGGGAGAAAGCGGGGGACCUUCGGGCCUCGCGCGGUUGGACGGACCGAUGUGCGAUUAACUAGUUGGUAAGGUAAUGGCUUACCAAGGCGACGAUCGCUAGCUGGUCUGAGAGGAUGAUCAGCCACACUGGGACUGAGACACGGCCCAGACUCCUACGGGAGGCAGCAGUGGGGAAUAUUGGACAAUGGGCGCAAGCCUGAUCCAGCAAUGCCGCGUGUGUGAAGAAGGCCUUCGGGUUGUAAAGCACUUUUAUCAGGAACGAAAUACCAGCGGGUUAAUAACCUAUGGGGCUGACGGUACCUGAGGAAUAAGCACCGGCUAACUUCGUGCCAGCAGCCGCGGUAAUACGAAGGGUGCAAGCGUUAAUCGGAAUUACUGG
rnacentral:rRNA from 1 species